CGAACGUUGGCAGUGUAGCUUAAGCAUGCAAGUCAACGGCAGCAAGGCCAUGUAGCAAUAUAUGGUGCUGGCGAGUGGCGAACUGGUGAGUAACACGUAAGAAUCUGCCCUAAGGUGGGGGAGUAACUCAUGGAAACAUGAGCUAAUACCGCAUAAUGCGAAGCUUAUAGAGAUAUAAGUUUGUUAAAGGAGAAAUCCGCCAUAGGAUGAGCUUGCGUCCCAUUAGCUAGUUGGCGGGGUAAAUGCCCACCAAGGCUAUGAUGGGUAGCUGGCCUGAGAGGGUGGUCAGCCACACUGGGACUGAGAUACGGCCCAGACUCCUACGGGAGGCAGCAGCUAAGAAUCUUCCUCAAUGGGGGAAACCCUGAAGGAGCGACACUGCGUGCAGGAUGAAGGCCCUUUGGGUUGUAAACUGCUUUUGCAGGGGAGAAAUAACCGAAUGGGAUGAUAGUACUCUGCGAAUAAGUCCCGGCUAACUACGUG
rnacentral:rRNA from 1 species